AGCGAAGGUGGUAGCGGUGAAUUAAGGCGAAAUCAAUAAAUCGAUCACGCGGGUUGUUUUUUUCAAAUUUGCGCGGGUUUUCUUGUCCCAAAAGAAUUUUCAAGAGACAUUUUGUUGAAUCCCAGAACGCCGUGUGCUAUUGUUUUCUUGUCUCAAUGCACAAGUUUUCGUGAAAUUUGGGCAUAUAAAUACUUUGGUGCUACAUGUGCUCGCCCUUUGCCCUUCAAGCUCGCCAUUCGAAAGUGGUUCCGUACUGUAGUGUCACUGAAGUGAGUUUUAGGCCCAUUGUGGGGAGCCUUUUGACAGGAGUGCCAGAUAUCUUGAAUUCUGUAAAAAUUGUCAUGAUACAGCCAUUUCAAAAGAAAACGCGCAGUUUGUUGUGAAUUACCACCCAGAAAUCGCAAACUGCUGUUUGAGUUUAUGGGAUAGCAAGCCAUCAAUUUGUAUGUUCAACAUAGAUAUGUCAAUAUCAAGGUAAGCUUUUUUAUAACAUUCUAUGAUAUGUAUGUAUUUAUAAGCAAUUACUGACAUAGAAGAGUAGCAACUAUGUUAUCAACCAGAGCUUGAAAAUGUUUUACGCUACUGUUAAUGGACCAAAAUCAUAUAUAAAUUUUCCUGCAAGAAUGUGUCACCAGUUAGUUUUUUUUGUAAAUGAAAGUACAAGGGUUUAGGCAAUUUAACUACCACUUAAAAAUCAUUUCGGUGACUGAAAUUUUUUUGUCAUUUAUGAACACCUAAAUUGAUCUGGAAUAGGGGCUUAGCUUCAAUAUUUAUUUACAAUCAGAUAUUAAGAAUGCAGGUGAAAAAGGACAAAUUCAGAAUUUGCAAGAAUUUUUUAAGAAUUCUUCAAACUAUCACAAAGAUUCUUGGGCCAGAAGGAAAACUGCAAACUUUUAUCAAACAAAAUUUUUAAAUACCUUCUAGAAUGUUUUUAAGUAGAAAAAACAUUUAACCUGUACAAGGCAUAUGCAUAAGAUAUAUUACUUUUUGUUCUCAUGUUUUUUCUUUUGAUAAGCAUGAAAGAAAUAAAGGCACUUCUUGCAAAAGGUUAUAUAUAAAAAUUUCUUGCAAAACUUGAUUUGCUAAAAUUUCCUGAAUUUAAAAACUACAAUCAAUGAAAUCUUAUGAAAUACUUAUUGUUUUUUAUCAAUGAGGCUGGUUUCUUUUUUUAAAAGAGAACAAAAUUUCACUAUAUUUGACUAAGUUGAAACUUUGCAAAGUAGAAGACUCAACUAUUUUACAAUAUUUUUCUUAGACGGUCAAAGAACAGACAAUAGGCAAAAAUUUAAAUAGAAACAUGAUUGAAAUUGAAAGAAUUCUAGAAAGCAUCUCACAUGCAUUUCUUGCUUUCAAAAAUCAAAAGAUUGAAGAUUGAAAAUCAAAAUAAAAUUUGCAAAAAAGAUUGAAAAAGGGCAAAGAAAAACACUUUAAAAAGACUGAAUUCAUGAAAUUUUCAAAGACUGAAUUCAUGUGAGCUUGGAUUCUUUUAGCUUUAAAAACAGCAAAAUCAUUUUUCAAAUUUAAUAGCAAUCACUAUAUCAAUCAGUAUGGAUGGAUGUUUUUCCCGAAACAUUUCUUUAAUUGCUUUGAUUUGAAACAAAUUUCAAAACCCUUGAAUUCACUAAGAUUGUUUUUGUGGAGGUUUUGGUGGCUUUGGGUACUAUGUUAGAUGGUGGUUUAGUUUUGGUAGAUGGUGGUUUAGUUUUGGUGGAGGUUUUGGUUGCUUUGGGUGCUCGGUUAUGGUGGAUGGUGGUUAAGUUUUGGUGAUUUGAGGUGUGUUGUGGUUCUAUAGUUCUGUGGUUUUAGUAAAUGAUCUGAAUGUGAUGGUGGCGAAAAACUUCUUUAGUGAUUCAAGGGUUCAGAAUUUUAAAAAAGAAAGUUUUCAGUAACAUUUUCCCAAAAUGCCCAAGGCUGAUUUUUUAAGAAAAACCUUUUUUGAAAUAUUUUAAAACAAGCUCUGUAAAAUGCCUCAAGUAGCCGAUUUUAAAAACUGGAUUUUUUUUUAAUCAGUGUGCGUUAUAAAAGUCAUUUCCAAAAUUUUCCUUAGCAAAUUUUCAAAAUUAUGUGUGACUGAAAUAUAAUUUUCAAGUUUGCACUGAGAGGCAUAACAUCUUUCUAUAAUGUCACUUUAUUGUUCAUGAAUGUAUCAAUUCAACUUAUUUCUGUGUAGAAACUUGAAUUUAACAAACAAACCUUUGGAGCUUGCUUACUUUCAGCCCUGCUUUAUUCAAUAAAACCUUGUUGUAUUUUUAGAUAAUUAUGAUAUGUAUAAAUGUCAUAAAACCACUUUGGUCAGUGAUCAAAUUCUAAAUCAAACGAAAUUCAACUUUUGGUAAUAGUGUGAUGGGGACACAAUCCCUUUCUUACAUAGUCUAGCAAAUAAUUGCUCACAUUUUUCAAUAAAUCUGACAAAUUUCAGAACAAGACAAAGCUGCUUCUUGCAUUCUUUAGUUUUUCAUGUUUUUUGCCUCAAACUUUGCACUUCACAAAAAUUCUGAACCCAUUUAUCUCAAAUUUUCUAUUUACUAAUUUAUUUCCCUCUUUUUUAGGUAUGGCUGCAUUUAUCUGUCAUCUUGACUUUCUGUUAACUCAUUAAUUUUUUACAAAGCUGGAUUUUUUAUAAUUUUCUUAAUCUAGUUUUGCAUAAAAUAGGCUGGGCUACAUUCAUGAUAACUACAUUGGUAAAAUGGGAGCAAACGAUAUUUCAAAAACUGACUUAUUUUGUUUUGCAAGCUGGUAGAAUAUGUUGUAACUGAUGCAUCAUUUUAAAUGAGAACCAAAAUCAACGAAAAAUUUGGUAACUUACUUUCGCGUCAGCCAUGCUAUGUCACGGAUCUGAUGUUUUGGAUUUCACGAGAAAAGGUUGGUUUUGAAUUUAUAUUUUUGUCUAGAACUUUGAUAAUCAUAAGACAGGACGUUUGAUUUUUAAUGGAUUUAUUUAAAGCAUCUUCUUAAGAAGUAUUUUUACGAGUCACUUUGAGGCAAAGAGAAUGUCAAAGAUGAAUAACCCAGUAUCAUCAUUUUAAUGCAGAAGGUCUUGCUUAUCUGGGUAGUUAACUAGGUAACUGCAAUUUGCUUAAGGGAAUUUAGCUACACAUCUAGAUUAACAAAUUGAAAGCAAGAAAAUUACAAAUUUUUUAAAGCGUACACCAGCUCUUUCGAAUCUUCAAAAAUAUGUCUCCGUUUCUAAUUGAAAAAGGAGAGGCUUUAAAAAUAUACAACAUAAUAUGAAAUCCUCGUUAAAUUUAUAUGGAGGCUUGAAUUCUUCUACUUUGAAAAAUGCAACUUAGUCAAAUAUAAUGAAAUUUUGUUCUUUUUUAAAAAAGGAACCAGCCUCUUGAUCAAAAACAAUAAAUAUGUUCUUAAAAACACUAAAAUGCUCAAAUAUUUUUUAUAUCGUCUCAUUCAAAGCGUUUAAAAAAAAUUUUAGAAUCCUUGAAAUCACUAAAGUUGGUUUUAGGCGGUUUUGGUUUUUGGCGGAGCGAGGUUUGGUUUUUGAUGCUUUGUAGUUUUGCGGCUGUGAGAACCGGGAAGUGGUUGUGGUGAAUAUCUUUAGUGAUUCAAGGUUUUAAAUUAAAAAUUGUCUUCAUUGCAAAAGGAUGUAAUGCAAGUUGAUCAUUUAAAUCGACUUUAUAAAAAUCUUUGUAGCCUUGUUUUCUGAAGGUGUCAAAUGCAAACAAAACAAAUGUUAAAUUGAGAAUUUUGCUUUUUGCGUUCCACUAGAAGCUCUUUUCGCACAUUUCUUGAGAAUUUUACCGGAUAUUUAAUUGGAAAAAGGCGUUUCAUUAUUUAAGCUUUUAAACACAAAAUACUGCUUCAUUGUUUACUAAUUUUUUGCCAAAAAGAAAGGGGGCUAACAUUGGGAAAGUUUAAGAUAGUUGACUUUUGUUUACUUUUUAGCAAAGAGAUGAAUUUCUAGGUAUUAUAAAUAUGUUGAAUUCCGCAAAGCAUUGGUGUUAAUACAUUAACUGCACAGGAGAUCAGUAUUUUGACGAGAUUUUAAAAAAAUCUUGAAAUUGUUAGUAUUGUUUUAUAGUAACAAGUUCAGCAAGGGGAAAACGAAUUCAAACUUGACAAGUAAAAAUGUUUACAUAGCAUUUAAACAGCUGAUCUUGCAUUUAGAAAUUAAAAAUCAGUCAUCUUUAAAAGUUUUACAUUUUUCCAUUAUAUCUUUAUCUCAGAAUACUAAUUUGUUUCUUUUUAUUUCAGGUAUGGCUAUGAUUUUUGCAAUUUUUUGGCUUUUUGGCCUUUUUUUAAUAUUUUGAGAGCUGGGGUUUUCAGUCUAAUUUUUUACUUUAGACUGCUUUAAUUAGACUGGAUUAAAUUCACAGAUGAUUGAAGCAGGACAAAUAACAGAAAUAAACUUUGGUUGUUGUGGAAAAAUUUUGAGAAAUGCUAAGUGUCACCUUAUAAGUCAGUCAGUUUGUUGACAAGGAAGAUUUUUGAGUGCAAGAAUCAAGUGUCUCGAAAUUCUCAAGAAACAGGCAAGUAGCGAUACGAUCCAAAUAUGAUUUCCACUUAACCUAAGACGUUAAUUGGAAGGGUUCUGUAUAUGAAAAUACUUCAUCAAAACCUGGUUUUCAAUAGACAUAUUGAAGAGGCGCUCAGAAGAAAAUGGAAUCAUAGAUACUGCAUAAUCCUGUAGUUGCACCGUAAUCUGAAUGCAAAAUAUCUUGAUUCAUUAAGUAACAAACAAACGUAGCUGCAUUGCAGUUAGAAAUUAAAAAUCAGUCAUCUUUGAAAGUUUCACAUUUUUUCAUUAUAUCUUCAUCUCAGAAUACUAAUUUGUUUCUUUUUAUUUCAGGUGUGGCUAUGAUUUUUGCAGUUUUUUGGCUUUUUUGGCCUUUUUUAAUAUUUUGAGAGCUGGGGUUUUCAGUUCAACUUUUUACUUUAGCUUGCUUUAAAUAGACUGGAUUAAAUUCACAGAUGAUUGAAUCAAGACCCAUAACAGAAAGAAACUUUGGUUGUUGUGAGAAUGGUGUUGGUUUGUUUGAUACUAGCUUAUGCAGAAUGCAGUUACAAAACAAUUUGGCACCAAAAAUGGUAAGCUAUUCUCAUGAAAAUUCUAUUUCAAUAUCCUACAGAGACAUUGAACUUCUGGCAAAAAUCUGAUAUCUUUUAUAACGGCCGAAACAUUAUUUCUAAUUGCUUUUUAUACAAUUUUCUCUCAAGAAUGAUGAUAAAUAAAGGUAGAACUAAUUUUAAGCAAUCAAUAACGGUAACAUGGCGUGGAAACCAAGCAUGGAUAGGUAACUAGCGUGAAAUAGCUGUGAUAUUUUUCGGGAGCGCAAAGAUGAACUUAAGAUUUUGCAAGAUAAAGAAUGCUAAAGCUACAAAUCUCACAGACUUUCGCAAUUUUGCAACUGAUAUUCAAAAUAGCAUCUUAAACUGAACAUUUCUGGUGUUUCUUAGGAAAAAUUUAUUAAGUUUCAAACAAUUAUUUUUAAGACAUAUCGAACCAUUUUAUAUGCAAUUUUUAUAUCUUGAAAAAAUUUCUGCAAAAUGGAAGAUAUCUCUUACAAAAUUUAGUCUUCAUUUGUCCAUCAAAUAAAAAGCCAUUAAGCAAAACAUAUACACGAAAGCAACAGGGAAAGCAUAGUGUGUCUAUUUUCAAACUGAAGGGUCUAAGGGUAGGUUUUCAUAAUACUUCAUUUUGUAUUUCGUACGUGGCUAUUGAACUUACAUAAAAAAUUAGCUGUUUAUUUAUCCCCUAGCACAACGUCUUAGGGUUAAAUUUAAGUAUAACCACAAAAAAAUAGGCAUUUCAAAGUGCUUGCAGAUAUUUCAGUCUCCAUUUGCUGGCCAUUGGUUUGAGGUUCUGAGUUGUUCGAUGAUAUGAUUGUGUUGGUAUGGUGGUUUGGUGGUCGUUGUGAUUGAUAAAUUGGUUGAUUUGGUGUUGAAGAGGCGACCCAGUACCGUGGAGAAUGUUUUACUGCAAGCACUAAAUCAAAAUCAAUUGCUAAAACGUGCAAUUUUUGAGAAAAAACGAUCAUAGAUGUCAAAGUACCAGCUUUAAAAAUUGACCCAAAAUGUAUCUUUAAUGUCUUUUAAAAGGAAAGGCAAGUUUACGCCAAUCUUAUGGUCUAUCACAUAGUUUUGAUUUUUUUGUUCAUGUACUCAUGCCUUUUGGUGACAAACGAAUAUUGUAUUAGUGCGGAUACUCAUUUCCCGAGAAAAAAGUGAAAAAUCUAGAUCCCACUGCUUUCAUAGCAUAAAUAGGCUAAAGAAAGAUGAUGAAAUUUCAGGCGCAAAAUGGAAAUUAUGGGAGGGGUGUUUUUUAAAUCUAAUCCAUUUUAACGUAAAACAAAAAUGAUCGAAAAUCAAAAAGUGUUGUUUCUCACCAAAGGUAGAACUUGACUUGCAUGGAGACAGUAGGUCUCUUGAGAAAAACACAAACAUGAUUGCACGAGAAAUGGCAUUCUUUUUUAUGCAGUGUGAAUAGAAUGCAAAGUGUAAUGAUUAUAGGCUUGGAUGAUUCCGUCGCUGAGAAAGUAAACAAGGAUAUCUAAGACUAACUUUUACCACGUGCAUGGAUUUCGGAUCUUGUAGUUUUAAUUUAUUGCUUCAUGAACGAUUCUUCUUCGAUUUUGCUGGCUUCUUGUUUAUUUUUUGCAGACCGCAGCAAGAUUUGAAGGCAGUCAUAUUGGUGAAGCUGAAUUUAUUGUGAAGAUUGGAAGAUACAAGAACACUUUAUCGAGAUAUUGGACUUUUAUUGAAAAGACUUUGUUGUUAGUUUGUAAUUUGCAAUCGGUACUUUCUCGCUAAUUUCGCUCGCACCCAAAACCAAGAUUUUUGCUACAAGAGGUGACCCGAAGGAACAUUGCCACAUAUAUUAUGAUAAUCAAGAUUUCGAUUUGAAGAAGCUAAGAGACAAUUUAUGACAUAUUAGUUUCGCAUUAUGAAGGAUAGGAUUCGAAUCGAGUUUCCAGGUAAAGAAAUUUCCAUCUUGCAUAUGUACCCGUACCCUACAGGUAAUUUCAGUCAUUGUAUCUUUGCA